rnacentral:lncRNA from 1 species
GAAGAAGAGAGAAUGGGUAUUUUAGUCUUUUUAACUAAAAUUAACGGUGAUUUAACUGAAAAUCUAACGGGAGGGACUAAUGGCAUAGUUUUUAAAAAUCACAGUGACUAAAUUGAAGGUUUUUUAAAACAGAGGGACGAAAGGUUGCAUUUCACUAAACCAGAGGGACUAAAUUACAGUUUACCCUAUCUAUAAUUACGGAAUUU